ACCAAAUCAAAAUUUUGUAUCGCUGGGAAAUGUAAUGAUUUGGAUUGGAGUUGGACCUCUUCUUUACGCUAUUAAGGUCCUGUUUGUUUUUCCAUCCAGAUGGAUCAUAUAGAUAGAGAUGAAAAAUGAUAUUUGUUUUUGACAAAUUAACAGCUCAUUUGGAUGAUUCAUUUGGAUGUUCCAUCUGAAUGACUUUGUAAAUUUAAGCUAAUUUGUGAAAUUCAUUUGGAUGGACUUGGUAGAACCAUUUGGAUGGAGAUGAUUUAGUUCAAAAAACAAAUGACAAAUAUACCCUCUUUUAAUAAUAUU
rnacentral:sRNA from 1 species